CAGGCCUAACACAUGCAAGUCGAACGGUGAUCUCUCUUCGGAGGGUGAUCAGUGGCGAACGGGUGAGUAACACGUGAGCAACCUGCCCCUGACUCUGGGAUAGCCUCGGGAAACCGGGAUUAAUACCGGAUAUGACACCUCCUCGCAUGGGGUGGUGUGGAAAGUUCUUCGGUCAGGGAUGGGCUCGCGGCCUAUCAGCUCGUUGGUGGGGUGAUGGCCUACCAAGGCGACGACGGGUAGCCGGCCUGAGAGGGUGACCGGCCACACUGGGACUGAGACACGGCCCAGACUCCUACGGGAGGCAGCAGUGGGGAAUAUUGCGCAAUGGGCGAAAGCCUGACGCAGCGACGCCGCGUGAGGGAUGAAGGCCUUCGGGUUGUAAACCUCUUUCAGCAGGGAAGAAGCGCAAGUGACGGUACCU
rnacentral:rRNA from 1 species